rnacentral:rRNA from 1 species
AUGAACGCUAGCUACAGGCUUAACACAUGCAAGUCGAGGGGCAGCAUGGUCUUAGCUUGCUAAGGCCGAUGGCGACCGGCGCACGGGUGAGUAACACGUAUCCAACCUGCCGUCUACUCUUGGACAGCCUUCUGAAAGGAAGAUUAAUACAAGAUGGCAUCAUGAGUCCGCAUGUUCACAUGAUUAAAGGUAUUCCGGUAGACGAUGGGGAUGCGUUCCAUUAGAUAGUAGGCGGGGUAACGGCCCACCUAGUCUUCGAUGGAUAGGGGUUCUGAGAGGAAGGUCCCCCACAUUGGAACUGAGACACGGUCCAAACUCCUACGGGAGGCAGCAGUGAGGAAUAUUGGUCAAUGGGCGCAGGCCUGAACCAGCCAAGUAGCGUGAAGGAUGACUGCCCUAUGGGUUGUAAACUUCUUUUAUAAAGGAAUAAAGUCGGGUAUGGAUACCCGUUUGCAUGUACUUUAUGAAUAAGGAUCGGCUAACUCCGUGCCAGCAGCCGCGGUAAUACGGAGGAUCCGAGCGUUAUCCGGAUUUAUUGGGUUUAAAGGGAGCGUAGAUGGAUGUUUAAGUCAGUUGUGAAAGUUUGCGGCUCAACCGUAAAAUUGCAGUUGAUACUGGAUAUCUUGAGUGCAGUUGAGGCAGGCGGAAUUCGUGGUGUAGCGGUGAAAUGCUUAGAUAUCACGAAGAACUCCGAUUGCGAAGGCAGCCUGCUAAGCUGCAACUGACAUUGAGGCUCGAAAGUGUGGGUAUCAAACAGGAUUAGAUACCCUGGUAGUCCACACGGUAAACGAUGAAUACUCGCUGUUUGCGAUAUACAGCAAGCGGCCAAGCGAAAGCAUUAAGUAUUCCACCUGGGGAGUACGCCGGCAACGGUGAAACUCAAAGGAAUUGACGGGGGCCCGCACAAGCGGAGGAACAUGUGGUUUAAUUCGAUGAUACGCGAGGAACCUUACCCGGGCUUAAAUUGCAGAUGAAUUACGGUGAAAGCCGUAAGCCGCAAGGCAUCUGUGAAGGUGCUGCAUGGUUGUCGUCAGCUCGUGCCGUGAGGUGUCGGCUUAAGUGCCAUAACGAGCGCAACCCUUGUUGUCAGUUACUAACAGGUUCCGCUGAGGACUCUGACAAGACUGCCAUCGUAAGAUGUGAGGAAGGUGGGGAUGACGUCAAAUCAGCACGGCCCUUACGUCCGGGGCUACACACGUGUUACAAUGGUAGGUACAGAGGGCAGCUACCCAGUGAUGGGAUGCGAAUCUCGAAAGCCUAUCUCAGUUCGGAUCGGAGGCUGAAACCCGCCUCCGUGAAGUUGGAUUCGCUAGUAAUCGCGCAUCAGCCACGGCGCGGUGAAUACGUUCCCGGGCCUUGUACACACCGCCCGUCAAGCCAUGAAAGCCGGGGGUACCUGAAGUGCGUAACCGCGAGGAGCGCCCUAGGGUAAAACUGGUGACUGGGGCU